UCGAGCGCACUGGCCCAACUGAUAUGACGUGCUUGUACUGAAUUGACGUUGGAUUACCAGUGAGCGGCGGACGGGUGAGUAACACGUGGGCAACCUGCCCUGAAGCGGGGGAUAACAUCUGGAAACAGGUGCUAAUACCGCAUAACAACGAAAACCACAUGGUUUUCGUUUCAAAGAUGGUUUCGGCUAUCACUUCAGGAUGGGCCCGCGGUGCAUUGGCUAGUUGGUAAGGUAACGGCUUACCAAGGCGAUGAUGCAUAGCCAAGUUGAGAGACUGAUCGGCCACAAUGGAACUGAGACACGGUCCAUACUCCUACGGGAGGCAGCAGUAGGGAAUCUUCCACAAUGGGCGCAAGCCUGAUGGAGCAACACCGCGUGAGUGAAGAAGGGUUUCGGCUCGUAAAGCUCUGUUGUUGGAGAAGAACGUGCGUGAGAGUAACUGUUCACGCAGUGACGGUAUCCAACCAGAAAGUCACGGCUAACUACGUGCCAGCAGCCGCGGUAAUACGUAGGUGGCAAGCGUUAUCCGGAUUUAUUGGGCGUAAAGCGAGCGCAGGCGGUUGCUUAGGUCUGAUGUGAAAGCCUUCGGCUUAACCGAAGAAGUGCAUCGGAAACCGGGCGACUUGAGUGCAGAAGAGGACAGUGGAACUCCAGGUGUAGCGGUGGAAUGCGUAGAUAUAUGGAAGAACACCAGCGGCGAAGGCGGCUGUCUGGUCUGCAACUGACGCUGAGGCUCGAAAGCAUGGGUAGCGAACAGGAUU
rnacentral:rRNA from 1 species